UACUCUACAAGAUAAUUCAAUUAAUGAUAAAGAGCCUAUAAAUAGGCAUUACAUAGUGCAUAAUGAACCCACUAACCCACAUCACCAUUACCCCACUAACCCAUGAUUCUAGCAACACAAUCACCACUCUCUUAGCCACCUAAACACAUUCCUAAAGACUAGGUCCAUUAUGACUAAAUCAACAUAAAAUAAAUAAUUAAAUAAAACAAUGAAUUAAAUAAAUAAACUUUAACAA
rnacentral:lncRNA from 1 species